UUUUUUACUACACUACAUAUGUUGGUAAAGCAUUUACCUAAGUUAUGGAAAAUUCAUAAUUCAUCAGUUAUUUUAGAUAAUACUAAAAAACAAGAUAGAGUAAGAUACAGAAGUGUAAAAGAAAGUGGAUUCAUCAGAUGAUACAUGAGUCCCUAAUUCCGAAUCAAGAGAUUUGUUGUGGAAUUUGUCAAUUGAGUAAAGUAAUAAUAUUAAGAACUAGAUCAUCUAACCCCAUUGAAUGAAAAAAUGAAAUUCGAUUUUCAAGGAAAUUUUUGAAUAAGAGAUAAAUAAACAAUUGAAUUUGAAAAAAAACUUCUUUCUAUUUUGGAUAAUUUCUUUUUCAAUAGGACCCUCUUUUUGGAGUGAACGAUCGAAUAUUCCCCUAUUCCUUCUUAUUUUAACUGGUUGUAUUCCAUAUGGAAUAAGAGGAGAACAAAAGCAUUCCACGACCUGCCAAGGGGCUGUUAAAAAAAAGAAAGCUCUUCCUUGAAUUUACUUUAUUUUUAUUCCUUUUUCGAACUCCAACCAAAGUAGAUUCGAAGACAAGUCACUUCAAUUAUCC
rnacentral:rRNA from 1 species